AGCGUACACGGUGGAUGCCCUGGCAGUCAGAGGCGAUGAAGGACGUGCUAAUCUGCGAAAAGCGUCGGUAAGGUGAUAUGAACCGUUAUAGCCGGCGAUGUCCGAAUGGGGAAACCCAGUGUGAUUCGUCACACUAUCGUUAACUGAAUACAUAGGUUAACGAGGCGAACCGGGGGAACUGAAACAUCUAAGUACCCCGAGGAAAAGAAAUCAACCGAGAUUCCCCCAGUAGCGGCGAGCGAACGGGGAGCAGCCCAGAGUCUGAAUCAGCUUGUGUGUUAGUGGAACGGUCUGGAAAGUCCGACGGUACAGGGUGAUAGUCCCGUACACCAAAAUGCACAGGUUGUGAACUCGAAGAGUAGGGCGGGACACGUGGUAUCCUGUCUGAAUAUGGGGGGACCAUCCUCCAAGGCUAAAUACUCCUGACUGACCGAUAGUGAACCAGUACCGUGAGGGAAAGGCGAAAAGAACCCCGGCGAGGGGAGUGAAAAAGAACCUGAAACCGUGUACGUACAAGCAGUGGGAGCACCUUUAUGGUGUGACUGCGUACCUUUUGUAUAAUGGGUCAGCGACUUAUAUUCUGUAGCAAGGUUAACCGUAUAGGGGAGCCGCAGGGAAACCGAGUCUUAACUGGGCGUUAAGUUGCAGGGUAUAGACCCGAAACCCGGUGAUCUAGCCAUGGGCAGGUUGAAGGUUGGGUAACACUAACUGGAGGACCGAACCGACUAAUGUUGAAAAAUUAGCGGAUGACUUGUGGCUGGGGGUGAAAGGCCAAUCAAACCGGGAGAUAGCUGGUUCUCCCCGAAAGCUAUUUAGGUAGCGCCUCGUGAAUUCAUCUUCGGGGGUAGAGCACUGUUUCGGCUAGGGGGUCAUCCCGACUUACCAACCCGAUGCAAACUACGAAUACCGAAGAAUGUUAUCACGGGAGACACACGGCGGGUGCUAACGUCCGUCGUGAAGAGGGAAACAACCCAGACCGCCAGCUAAGGUCCCAAAGUCACAGUUAAGUGGGAAACGAUGUGGGAAGGCACAGACAGCCAGGAUGUUGGCUUAGAAGCAGCCAUCAUUUAAAGAAAGCGUAAUAGCUCACUGGUCGAGUCGGCCUGCGCGGAAGAUGUAACGGGGCUAAACUGUGCACCGAAGCUGCGGCAGCGACACUAUGUGUUGUUGGGUAGGGGAGCGUUCUGUAAGCCUGCGAAGGUGGCCUGUGAGGGUUGCUGGAGGUAUCAGAAGUGCGAAUGCUGACAUAAGUAACGAUAAUGCGGGUGAAAAGCCCGCACGCCGGAAGACCAAGGGUUCCUGUCCAACGUUAAUCGGGGCAGGGUGAGUCGACCCCUAAGGCGAGGCCGAAAGGCGUAGUCGAUGGGAAACAGGUUAAUAUUCCUGUACUUGGUGUUACUGCGAAGGGGGGACGGAGAAGGCUAUGUUAGCCGGGCGACGGUUGUCCCGGUUUAAGCAUGUAGGCGGAGGUUCCAGGUAAAUCCGGUACCUUUUUAACGCUGAGGUGUGAUGACGAGGCACUACGGUGCUGAAGUAACAAAUGCCCUGCUUCCAGGAAAAGCCUCUAAGCAUCAGGUAACAUCAAAUCGUACCCCAAACCGACACAGGUGGUCAGGUAGAGAAUACCAAGGCGCUUGAGAGAACUCGGGUGAAGGAACUAGGCAAAAUGGUGCCGUAACUUCGGGAGAAGGCACGCUGAUAUGUAGGUGAAGCCCCUGCGGGUGGAGCUGAAAUCAGUCGAAGAUACCAGCUGGCUGCAACUGUUUAUUAAAAACACAGCACUGUGCAAACACGAAAGUGGACGUAUACGGUGUGACGCCUGCCCGGUGCCGGAAGGUUAAUUGAUGGGGUUAUCCGUAAGGAGAAGCUCUUGAUCGAAGCCCCGGUAAACGGCGGCCGUAACUAUAACGGUCCUAAGGUAGCGAAAUUCCUUGUCGGGUAAGUUCCGACCUGCACGAAUGGCGUAAUGAUGGCCAGGCUGUCUCCACCCGAGACUCAGUGAAAUUGAACUCGCUGUGAAGAUGCAGUGUACCCGCGGCAAGACGGAAAGACCCCGUGAACCUUUACUAUAGCUUGACACUGAACAUUGAGCCUUGAUGUGUAGGAUAGGUGGGAGGCUUUGAAGCGUGGACGCCAGUCUGCGUGGAGCCAACCUUGAAAUACCACC
rnacentral:rRNA from 1 species